rnacentral:lncRNA from 1 species
GUUAUCUUCUCCAGAAGAAUGUUGUCAACAAAGAAUUUCACUAUAAAAGAGAUUAAAGGGGUUGUAUUUUUUAAUUGUGUGCUCAAUGCAAGCAGUGGUUUGAAGAAAAGUAAAAUACUUCAAUUCAUAGGUUAGAUGACGAUUAAGAUUCUUAAAAUCCCCUCUAUCUUUUUUGUCAGAUUAAUGUAACAAUCAAUACCAAUUAUGAUUAAAGUGCUUUAUAAACAAUGUGUCAAUUGAAAAAUAGUAAUUAAUAUGUAGACUCAUCUAUGUGUAACUAUGCUUAUCUAAAGAGGUGUUAAGUGAAUUUUGUAGUGAUGAAUCAUGAAUCUAUAAUCAUACUUAUAAAACCAUAAUUUGUCAUAUUAAAAUAAAGGCUUAAUUAAAAUACAAAACAGUCCCC